GUGAACGCUGGCGGUAGGCCUAACCCAUGCCAGUCGAACGGCAGCACCGUAAGAGCUUGCUCUUACGGGUGGCGAGUGGCGGACGGGUGAGGAAUACAUCGGAAUCUACUUUUUCGUGGGGGAUAACGUAGGGAAACUUACGCUAAUACCGCAUACGACCUACGGGUGAAAGCAGGGGAUCUUCGGACCUUGCGCGAUUGAAUGAGCCGAUGUCGGAUUAGCUAGUUGGCGGGGUAAAGGCCCACCAAGGCGACGAUCCGUAGCUGGUCUGAGAGGAUGAUCAGCCACACUGGAACUGAGACACGGUCCAGACUCCUACGGGAGGCAGCAGUGGGGAAUAUUGGACAAUGGGCGCAAGCCUGAUCCAGCCAUACCGCGUGGGUGAAGAGGGCCUUCGGGUUGUAAAGCCCUUUUGUUGGGAAAGAAAAGCAGCAGGUUAAUACCCCGCUGUUCUGACGGUACCCAAAGAAUAAGCACCGGCUAACUUCGUG
rnacentral:rRNA from 1 species